ensembl:snRNA U2 U2 spliceosomal RNA
AGUUUUUGCUCAGCCUUUUGGCUAACAUCAAGUGUAGUAUCUGUUCUUAUCAGUUGAAUCCGACUUUCUUAAUUCAGUUUCUUGUGUUACAUUCUAUGAUCUCAAAGUGUUAGAGGAAAGAUUUCCAACAAAUUUCUUAGUGGGGAAAAAUUUCU